UUCACACUUUGGACUGGUUUCACACAUAAGCUAGCAUGGUUGUUCCUAGUAUAAAUACACAUUCCUCCAUUUCAGCCGCAUCUCUUUGGCAAUUUUAUUUCAGAAUAGGUUAGCCAUGAGCAACCCCAAUCUUGUUUGAGAGUUGUCUACCCCUUUGCUCAUGUAAAACUUACCUUGUGAGAUUGCAGAAGCGGUCGUUCGACGGCAGUCUUUUCGUGCUUAAUUCCAACUUCGUGCGUGGUUGUGUGGAUUCAAAACUUAGAGUGUGGUUGGGCGAAUAAUUGCUGCAGGUCAUUGCAUAGGCGGUGGUUGGCAUCAAGAUCGUCAGGUUGCACUAUUAUCUUGGUUGUUCGCAGCUAGGUACCCAAGAGUGUCGUUGGUUGGAGUUGGUGUUCAUCAUCGUAUCCCUCAGAUGGCGCUAGUUAUCGUGCUCGUGGAGAUUCUACGUCGUGAAGAUCGAGCGCGUCCACAUCAAUUGGUAUGAGAGUUUCGGUUGACACGAAUAGGGUGCGAUAAGGCACCAAAAUCUACUUCCUACUACAUCAUGAAGCAAAAAGUGCAAAGCAGAAAAGAGAAGAAAAGAAAAGCAGAGAGGAAGAUGAUGCUGGAAGGGGUGAUCAAGCAAAAAGGAGGUUAAAGUAGGGAUCUUCUUCGGUGUCAAGCUAGCUAAAGCAAUUGGCUGGGUGCAUAAUUCAAAAGGUGAUGGUGACAGCCUCUGAGAGAGAGCAAGGAGAAGAGCAUAAAAGGGGGUGCACCUCCCUUCCAUCGGGACAGAAGCCAGGAGAGAGGGGAGUGGUUGAGAUCCAGAACAUGGGAAAGAAAGGAGAAGAAGGGAGGAGGGCCAGCUGGCAAGAUCUGGAGCUGUUCUUGGUUGAUUUGGAUGCAUCUACACCGUAAUCUUAGAGUUGUUAAGCUAGAUCAUCACCUUCCUUGUCCCAUAAUCCCUGCUGCUGCAAGAAAUUCUGUAAACUCUGCCCUUACUCUUCCCUUUCUUUAGUCCUUUCCUGUCCUAGUUGUUCUUGCUAAUCUUGCUAUAACCUACUAUUGAAUUCGUAUGCUAAACCUUGUCUACAACUCAAUUCUGUCGUGUGAAGUAACUUUAUUGCUUGUGUUUGCUCGUAAGAUUACUUGUUGAUUUUGUUUUAUCUAUUCCUGGGAGGAAAUUCAGUUAGGCUGUGUUUGGUUCCAGAGUGGGGUGGAAUGGAAUGGAACCAUUCGUUCCGUUCCAUUCCGUUCCAUUAGAUUCCAGUUUGUCGUUUGGUUAAGAAGAUGGAAUAACUAUGUAUUUUGUUUGGUUGAGAGGAUGAAAUGGAAUGGGUUCAUUUUUUGUUU